UACGGAGGGGGCUAGCGUUGUUCGGAUUCAUUGGGCGUAAAGGGUGCGUAGGCGGCGCGGUAAGUCGGGUGUGAAAUCUCGGAGCUUAACUCCGAAACUGCAUUCGAUACUGCGGUGCUUGAGGACUGGAGAGGAGACUGGAAUUCAUGGUGUAGCAGUGAAAUGCGUAGAGAUCAUGAGGAAGACCAGUGGCGAAGGCGGGUCUCUGGACAGUUCCUGACGCUGAGGCACGAAGGCCAGGGGAGCAAACGGG
rnacentral:rRNA from 1 species